GAUGAACGCUGGCGGCGUGCCUAAUACAUUCAAGUCGAGCGAACAGACGAGGAGCUUGCUCCUCUGACUUUAGCUGCGGACGGUUGAGUAACACGUGGAUAACCUACCUAUAAGACUGGGAUAACUUCGGGAAACCGGAGCUAAUACCGGAUAAUAUAUUGAACCGCAUGGUUCAAUAGUUAAAGACGGUUUUGCUGUCACUUAUAGAUGGAUCCGCGCCGCAUUAGCUAGUUGGUAAGGUAACGGCUUACCAAGGCAACGAUGCGUAGCCGACCUGAGAGGGUGAUCGGCAACACUGGAACUGAGACACGGUCCAGACUCCUACGGGAAGCAGCAGUAGGGAAUCUUACGAAAUGGGCGAAAGCCUGACGGAGCAACGCCGCGUGAGUGAUGAAGGUCUUCGGAUCGUAAAACUCUGUUAUUAGGGAAGAACAAAUGUGUAAGUAACUAUGCACGUCUUGACGGUACCUAAUCAGAAAGCCACGGCUAACUACGUG
rnacentral:rRNA from 1 species